UACGUAGGGGGCUAGCGUUGUCCGGAAUCAUUGGGCGUAAAGAGCGUGUAGGCGGCCCGGUAAGUCCGCUGUGAAAGUCGGGGGCUCAACCCUCGAAUGCCGGUGGAUACUGUCGGGCUAGAGUGCGGAAGAGGCGAGUGGAAUUCCUGGUGUAGCGGUGAAAUGCGCAGAUAUCGGGAGGAACACCAAGUGCGAAGGCAGCGCGCUGGGACGUAACUGACGCUGAGACGCGAAAGCGUGGGGAGCAAACAGG
rnacentral:rRNA from 1 species